rnacentral:rRNA from 1 species
CGUGAGCGGCGGACGGGUGAGUAACGCGUGGGUAACCUGCCUCAUACAGGGGAGUAACAGUUGGAAACGGCUGCUAAUACCGCAUAAGCGCACAGUACCGCAUGGUAACGGUGUGAAAAACUCCGGUGGUAUGAGAUGGACCCGCGUCUGAUUAGGUAGUUGGUGGGUAACGGCCUACCAAGCCGACGAUCAGUAGCCGACCUGAGAGGGUGACCGGCCACAUUGGGACUGAGACACGGCCCAA